rnacentral:rRNA from 1 species
CGACGUAGGUAACCUGCCUGGUAGCGGGGGAUAACUAUUGGAAACGAUAGCUAAUACCGCAUAAUAGUAGAUGUUGCAUGACAUUUACUUAAAAGGUGCAAUUGCAUCACUACCAGAUGGACCUGCGUUGUAUUAGCUAGUUGGUGGGGUAACGGCUCACCAAGGCGACGAUACAUAGCCGACCUGAGAGGGUGAUCGGCCACACUGGGACUGAGACACGGCCCAG